CCCGAGCAACGACCAGCAUUACAAUGUUGGCUGUAAAAUUUUCCCUUGCCCUAAUGGUCGCACUCACAGUUGUGGUGGAGAAUACCUCAAGUGUGACAUUGCACCCGGUAUUUGGAAGUUGCUCUGGUCGACAUUGCAGAGUUGGUGCAAAUCAGUGUGGACCAGGGUGCGAGUGCAGAGGUACCAUAUACGGGCCUAAAUGCAUGCCAACGCAGCGGUUCAGGCGAGGGUAAUUCAAAUCUACACUGUAUAAGGCUCGUUCAAUAAAAUA